rnacentral:rRNA from 1 species
UGACACGACUCUCGGCAAUGGAUAUCUCGGCUCUCGCAUCGAUGAAGAGCGCAGCGAAAUGCGAUACGUGGUGCGAAUUGCAGAAUCCCGCGAACCAUCGAGUCUUUGAACGCAAGUUGCGCCCGAGGCCACCCGGCUGAGGGCACGUCCGCCUGGGCGUCAAGC